rnacentral:SRP_RNA from 1 species
UGCCAGGCCCCACGCAAUAGAAUUUCACCCAACCCCGUCAGGUCCGGAAGGAAGCAGCGGUCAGUGGAUGCAUAUGUGCCGUGGGUUUUCCUGGCUUUU